rnacentral:rRNA from 1 species
GGUUAAGUGACUAAGCGUACACGGUGGAUGCCUUGGCAGUCAGAGGCGAUGAAAGACGUAGUAACUUGCGAUAAGCCCAGAUUAGGUAGUAACAACCAUUUGAGUCUGGGAUUUCUGAAUGGGGAAACCCACGUGCAUAAGCACGUAUCCUUACCUGAAUACAUAGGGUAAGGAGGCGAACCGGGGGAACUGAAACAUCUAAGUACCCCGAGGAAAAGAAAUCAACCGAGAUUCCGAAAGUAGCGGCGAGCGAAAUUGGACUAGCCCUUAAGCUUUACACGCGUUAGACGAACGGUCUGGAAAGUCCGACGAUACAGGGUGAUAGUCCCGUAGUUGACGACGUGUGUUCAGUGAAAUCGAGUAGGGCGGGACACGUGAUAUCCUGUCUGAAUAUGGGGGGACCAUCCUCCAAGGCUAAAUACUACUGACUGACCGAUAGUGAACCAGUACCGUGAGGGAAAGGCGAAAAGAACCCCUGUGAGGGGAGUGAAAUAGAACCUGAAACCGUGUACGUACAAGCAGUAGGAGCAGGCUUUGUCCUGUGACUGCGUACCUUUUGUAUAAUGGGUCAGCGACUUAUAUUCAGUGGCAAGGUUAACCAUCUAGGGGAGCCGUAGGGAAACCGAGUCUUAACUGGGCGUUCAGUCUCUGGAUAUAGACCCGAAACCAGGUGAUCUAGCCAUGGGCAGGUUGAAGGUUGAGUAACAUCAACUGGAGGACCGAACCGACUAAUGUUGAAAAAUUAGCGGAUGACUUGUGGCUAGGGGUGAAAGGCCAAUCAAACCUGGAGAUAGCUGGUUCUCCCCGAAAGCUAUUUAGGUAGCGCCUCGGACGAAUACUACUGGGGGUAGAGCACUGUUAAGGCUAGGGGGUCAUCCCGACUUACCAACCCUUUGCAAACUCCGAAUACCAGUAAGUACUAUCCGGGAGACACACGGCGGGUGCUAACGUCCGUCGUGGAGAGGGAAACAACCCAGACCGCCAGCUAAGGUCCCAAAUUACUACUAAGUGGGAAACGAUGUGGGAAGGCUCAGACAGCCAGGAUGUUGGCUUAGAAGCAGCCAUCAUUUAAAGAAAGCGUAAUAGCUCACUGGUCGAGUCGGCCUGCGCGGAAGAUGUAACGGGGCUAAGUAGUAAACCGAAGCUGCGGCAAUGUGCUUUUGCACAUUGGGUAGGGGAGCGUUCUGUAAGCGGUUGAAGGUGUGUGGUAACGCAUGCUGGACGUAUCAGAAGUGCGAAUGCUGACAUGAGUAACGAUAAAGGGGGUGAAAAACCUCCUCGCCGGAAGACCAAGGGUUCCUGUCCAACGUUAAUCGGGGCAGGGUAAGUCGACCCCUAAGGCGAGGCCGAAAGGCGUAGUCGAUGGGAAACGGGUUAAUAUUCCCGUACUUCUUACAAUUGCGAUGGGGGGACGGAGAAGGCUAGGUGGGCCUGGCGACGGUUGUCCAGGUUCAAGUGCGUAGGCUUAAGAGUUAGGUAAAUCCGGCUCUUUUUAAGGCUGAGACACGACGUCGAGCACCUACGGGUGUGAAGUCAUUGAUGCCAUGCUUCCAGGAAAAGCCUCUAAGCUUCAGAUUGUAAGGAAUCGUACCCCAAACCGACACAGGUGGUCGGGUAGAGAAUACCAAGGCGCUUGAGAGAACUCGGGUGAAGGAACUAGGCAAAAUGGUACCGUAACUUCGGGAGAAGGUACGCUCUUGAUGGUGAAGUCCCUUGCGGAUGGAGCUGACGAGAGUCGCAGAUACCAGGUGGCUGCAACUGUUUAUUAAAAACACAGCACUGUGCAAAAUCGUAAGAUGACGUAUACGGUGUGACGCCUGCCCGGUGCCGGAAGGUUAAUUGAUGGGGUUAGACUUCGGUCGAAGCUCUUGAUCGAAGCCCCGGUAAACGGCGGCCGUAACUAUAACGGUCCUAAGGUAGCGAAAUUCCUUGUCGGGUAAGUUCCGACCUGCACGAAUGGCGUAAUGAUGGCCACGCUGUCUCCACCCGAGACUCAGUGAAAUUGAAAUCGCUGUGAAGAUGCAGUGUACCCGCGGCUAGACGGAAAGACCCCGUGAACCUUUACUACAGCUUGGCACUGAACAUUGACCCUACAUGUGUAGGAUAGGUGGGAGGCUUUGAAGCACGUACGCCAGUAUGUGUGGAGCCGUCCUUGAAAUACCACCCUUGUAGUGUUGAUGUUCUAACGUCGACCCCUAAUCGGGGUUGCGGACAGUGCCUGGUGGGUAGUUUGACUGGGGCGGUCUCCUCCCAAAGAGUAACGGAGGAGCACGAAGGUGGGCUAAUCACGGUUGGACAUCGUGAGGUUAGUGCAAUGGCAUAAGCCGCUUGACUGCGAGAAUGACAAUUCGAGCAGGUGCGAAAGCAGGUCAUAGUGAUCCGGUGGUUCUGAAUGGAAGGGCCAUCGCUCAACGGAUAAAAGGUACUCCGGGGAUAACAGGCUGAUACCGCCCAAGAGUUCAUAUCGACGGCGGUGUUUGGCACCUCGAUGUCGGCUCAUCACAUCCUGGGGCUGAAGUCGGUCCCAAGGGUAUGGCUGUUCGCCAUUUAAAGUGGUACGCGAGCUGGGUUUAGAACGUCGUGAGACAGUUCGGUCCCUAUCUGCCGUGGGCGUUGGAAGAUUGAAGGGGGCUGCUCCUAGUACGAGAGGACCGGAGUGGACGAACCUCUGGUGUUCGGGUUGUGUCGCCAGACGCAUUGCCCGGUAGCUAAGUUCGGAAUCGAUAACCGCUGAAAGCAUCUAAGCGGGAAGCGAGCCCUGAGAUGAGUCUUCCCUGAUACUUUAAGUAUCCUAAAGGGUUGUCGGAGACUACGACGUUGAUAGGUCAGGUGUGUAAGUGCUGUGAGGCAUUGAGCUAACUGAUACUAAUUGCCCGUGAGGCUUAACCAUACAACACCCAAGGGGUUU